GAUGAACGCUGGCGGCGUGCCUAAUACAUGCAAGUCGAACGAAACUUCUUUAUCACCGAGUGCUUGCACUCACCGAUAAAGAGUUGAGUGGCGAACGGGUGAGUAACACGUGGGCAACCUGCCCAAAAGAGGGGGAUAAUACUUGGAAACAGGUGCUAAUACCGCAUAACCAUAGUUACCGCAUGGUAACUAUGUAAAAGGUGGCUAUACUACCGCUUUUGGAUGGUCCCGCGGCGCAUUAGCUAGUUGGUAGGGUAAAGGCUUACCAAGGCAAUGAUGCGUAGCCGAAUUGAGAGGUUGAUCGGCCACAUUGGGACUGAGACACGGCCCAAACUCCUACGGGAGGCAGCAGUAGGGAAUCUUCCACAAUGGGCGAAAGCCUGAUGGAGCAACGCCGCGUGGGUGAAGAAGGUCUUCGGAUCGUAAAACCCUGUUGUUAGAGAAGAAAGUGCGUGAGAGUAACUGUUCACGUUUCGACGGUAUCUAACCAGAAAGCCACGGCUAACUACGUG
rnacentral:rRNA from 1 species